rnacentral:lncRNA from 1 species
UUGGAUUCUGGGCUCUCUCCGCUCAAGUGCUACUGACAAAUGCUCGAGAAUGGCCCAGCACACCUUGGACCCAGUGACGUCCUCUGGUCAGAAACUCCAGCACGGGGGUCCUCCUGAAGUGGACGCGGAGAGCAAGUUUAUUGAGACUCCAGUGUCAAUGUCGGGUUGGACGCUGUGUCCAACAGCCUCCCACGGUCUGAUCUGGGAUUGAUCCCUGGUGCCACCACUGCUGGAGUGUGAGUCUAAGCAAAUCACUGUACCUCCCCGAGCCUCAAUUUCCUCAUCUGAAAGAUGGGCACAAUAUGAAAAUCUCCCCCUGAGGAGUCAUGCUGUUUUUCUGCCUAUCUCCUGGGGGCGUGCAUGACACGGAAUGGUUCUGUGAGAGCGGCCCGUAA